AUGACAGCUGGUUGUGAAACGUUGUGGCAGGCACGUUCUUGAUAACAAGUUGAUGAACAAGGAGGUAGAGCGGGUCAUCCACUGCUAGGAAGGUCAGCGCUUCUCCAGUUUGCAUGUUGAGAUGUCCGUGGCCAUGGCCAAAAGCCCUCCACAAUGUUAACUGUGUCUUCAUACUGACCCUCACAUACAACGGUCAGUACUACAGGCAGAAACAUGGCUGUGCCGUGGGUUCCCCAG